AGGGUGCAGGGCGGAUGCCUUGGCACUAGGAGCCGAUGAAGGACGUGAUAAGCUGCGAUAAGCUUCGGGGAGUUGCACGUAAACUUUGAUCCGAAGAUUUCCGAAUGAGGAAACUCACUUAGAGUAAUGUCUAAGUAUCAUUAAGUGAAUACAUAGCUUAAUGAGGGGAACUCAGGGAACUGAAACAUCUAAGUACCUGAAGGAAGAGAAAGAAAUUCGAUUCCGUAAGUAGCGGCGAGCGAACGCGGAUUAGCCCAAACCAAUAAAGUUUUCUUUGUUGGGGUUGCGGACAUAUCAUAACGAAGAGGUAUCGUAAUUGAAGAGGUUUGGAAAGACCCACCACAGAAGGUAAUAGUCCUGUAUGUUAAACGAGAAGACUUCAGAUAUGAUCCAGAGUACCACGGGACACGUGAAACCCUGUGGGAAGCAGGAGGGACCACCCUCCAAGGCUAAAUACUACCUAGUGACCGAUAGCGUAUAGUACCGUGAGGGAAAGGUGAAAAGAACCCCGGGAGGGGAGUGAAAUAGAACCUGAAACCCUGCACUUACAAGCUGUGGAAGCACAUUUCUUGUGUGACCGCGUACUUUUUGUAGAACGGGCCAACGAGUUACGUUAAGUAGCAAGGUUAAGCACUUAAGGUGCGGAGCCGUAGCGAAAGCGAGUUUUAACUGAGCGUUCAGUUACUUGACGUAGACCCGAAACCGGGCGACCUACCCAUGAGCAGGAUGAAGCGAAAGUAAAAUUUCGUGGAGGUCCGAACCCACGAGCGUUGAAAAGCUCGGGGAUGACUUGUGGGUAGCGGUGAAAUUCCAAUCGAGCCCGGAGAUAGCUGGUUCUCCCCGAAAUAGCUUUAGGGCUAGCCUCAAGGUGAGAGAUACGGAGGUAGAGCACUGAAUGUCCUAGGGGGUAUUGCACCUACCGAAGACUAUCAAACUCCGAAUGCCGUCAUCUUAUACUUGGGAGUCAGACUGUGGGUGAUAAGAUUCAUAGUCGAAAGGGCAACAGCCCAGAUCGUCAGCUAAGGUCCCUAAAUGUAAGUUAAGUGGUAAAGGAUGUGGGAUUGCACAGACAACCAGGAUGUUGGCUUAGAAGCAGCCACUCAUUCAAAGAGUGCGUAAUAGCUCACUGGUCGAGUGAUCCUGCGCCGAAGAUUUCCGGGGCUAAAACUUACUACCGAAGCUACGGCAUCAGUAAUGAUGGGUAGGGGAGCUUCCCAUACGGGUUGAAGCAUGACCGUAAGGACAUGUGGACAGUAUGGGAGUGAGAAUGUUGGCAUGAGUAGCGAGAUGUGGGUGAGAAUCCCACAGGCCGUAAACCCAAGGUUUCCAGGGGAAGGUUCGUCCGCCCUGGGUUAGUCGGGACCUAAGCUGAGGCCGAAAGGCGUAGGUGAUGGACAACAGGUUGAUAUUCCUGUACUACCGAUAACCGUUUGAGAGAAGGGAUGACACAGUAGGAUAAGCUAAGCACACUGUUGGUUAUGUGUGCCCAAGCAUUGAGGCAGUCAAAGCAGGCAAAUCCGCUUUGAUAAUGCUGGGAUGUGAUGGGGAGCGAAAUUUAGUAGCGAAGUAGCUGAUUUCACACUGUCAAGAAAAGUCUCUAUCGAGGUUAAAGGUACCCGUACCGCAAACCGACACAGGUGGGUGAGGAGAGUAUCCUAAGGCCAGCGAGAGAACUGUUGUUAAGGAACUCGGCAAAAUGACCCCGUAACUUAGGGAUAAGGGGUGCCACCAUCCGGUGGCCGCAGAGAAUAGGCCCAAGCGACUGUUUACCAAAAACAUAGGUUUCUGCUAAGUCGCAAGACGAUGUAUAGGAGCUGACGCCUGCCCGGUGCUGGAAGGUUAAGGGGAUCUGUUAGAGCAAUCGAAGCAGUGAACUUAAGCCCCAGUAAACGGCGGCCGUAACUAUAACGGUCCUAAGGUAGCGAAAUUCCUUGUCGGGUAAGUUCCGACCCGCACGAAAGGCGUAACGAUUUGGGCACUGUCUCAACAACAGACUCGGUGAAAUUGUAAUUCCGGUGAAGAUGCCGGAUACCUGCGACAGGACGGAAAGACCCCAUGGAGCUUUACUGUAGCUUGACAUUGGGUCUUGGUACUACAUGUACAGGAUAGGUGGGAGGCUUUGAAACCAGGACGCCAGUUUUGGCGGAGCCAUCCUUGGGAUACCACCCUUGUAGUACUGGGACUCUAACCAUAGGCCAUGAAUCUGGUCUUGGGACACUGUCAGGUGGGCAGUUUGACUGGGGCGGUCGCCUCCCAAAAGGUAACGGAGGCGCUCAAAGGUUCUCUCAGUACGGUCGGAAAUCGUACGUAGAGUGUAAAGGCAAAAGAGAGCUUGAUUGCAAGACAUACAGGUCGAGCAAGGAUGAAAAUCGGACUUAGUGAUCCGGUGGUUCUGCGUGGAAGGGCCAUCGCUCAACGGAUAAAAGCUACCCUGGGGAUAACAGGCUUAUCUCCCCCAAGAGUCCACAUCGACGGGGAGGUUUGGCACCUCGAUGUCGGCUCAUCACAUCCUGGGGCUGUAGUAGGUCCCAAGGGUUGGGCUGUUCGCCCAUUAAAGUGGUACGCGAGCUGGGUUCAGAACGUCGUGAGACAGUUCGGUCCCUAUCCGUCGCAGGCGUAGGAAAUUUGAGAAGACCUGUCCUUAGUACGAGAGGACCGGGAUGGACGUACCUCUGGUGUACCAGUUGUUCUGCCAAGGGCAUGGCUGGGUAGCUAUGUACGGAAUGGAUAAGCGCUGAAAGCAUCUAAGCGCGAAGCCAACUUCAAGAUAAGAUUUCCCACCGCAAGGGUAAGACCCCAGAAAGACUAUCUGGUUGAUAGGUCGAAGGUGUAAGUGCAGCAAUGUAUUUAGCUUAUCGAUACUAAUAGGUCGAGGACUUGACC
rnacentral:rRNA from 1 species